AACGAACGCUGGCGGCAUGCCUAACACAUGCAAGUCGAACGAGACCUUCGGGUCUAGUGGCGCACGGGUGCGUAACACGUGGGAAUCUGCCCUUUGCUUCGGAAUAACAGUUAGAAAUGACUGCUAAUACCGGAUGAUGUCGAAAGACCAAAGAUUUAUCGGCAAAGGAUGAGCCCGCGUAGGAUUAGGUAGUUGGUGGGGUAAAGGCCUACCAAGCCGACGAUCCUUAGCUGGUCUGAGAGGAUGAUCAGCCACACUGGGACUGAGACACGGCCCAGACUCCUACGGGAGGCAGCAGGGGGGAAUAUUGGACCAUGGGCGAAAGCCUGAUCCAGCAAUGCCGCGUGAGUGAUGAAGGCCUUAGGGUUGUAAAGCCCUUUUACCCGGGAUGAUAAUGACAGUACCUGGAGAAUAAGCUCCGGCUAACUCCGUG
rnacentral:rRNA from 1 species